UAACUUCGUGCCAGCAGCCGCGGUAAUACGAAGGGUGCAAGCGUUAAUCGGAAUUACUGGGCGUAAAGCGCGCGUAGGUGGUUCGUUAAGUUGGAUGUGAAAGCCCCGGGCUCAACCUGGGAACUGCAUCCAAAACUGGCGAGCUAGAGUACGGUAGAGGGUGGUGGAAUUUCCUGUGUAGCGGUGAAAUGCGUAGAUAUAGGAAGGAACACCAGUGGCGAAGGCGACCACCUGGACUGAUAGCUGACACUGAGGUGCG
rnacentral:rRNA from 1 species